UACGUACGAGGCGAGCGUUAUCCGGAAUUACUGGGCGUAAAGCGUGCGCAGGCGGUUUGUUAAGUCCGUUGUGAAAGCCCCGAGCUCAACUUGGGAAUUGCAGUCGAUACGGGCAGACUUGAGUUCGGUAGGGGAGACUGGAAUUCCUGGUGUAGCGGUGAAAUGCGCAGAUAUCAGGAGGAACACCGGUGGCGAAGGCGGGUCUCUGGGCCGAUACUGACGCUGAGGAGCGAAAGCGUGGGGAGCGAACAGG
rnacentral:rRNA from 1 species